rnacentral:rRNA from 1 species
GACGAACGCUGGCGGCGUGCCUAACACAUGCAAGUCGAACGGAGUUAUCGAUAAGCUUGCUUAGAGAUAACUUAGUGGCGGACGGGUGAGUAACGCGUGAGUAACCUGCCUUUCAGAGGGGGAUAACAUCCUGAAAAGGAUGCUAAUACCGCAUAACAUAUCGAGGUCACAUGGCUUUGAUAUCAAAGGAGCAAUCCGCUGAAAGAUGGACUCGCGUCCGAUUAGCCAGUUGGCGGGGUAAAGGCCCACCAAAGCGACGAUCGGUAGCCGGACUGAGAGGUUGAACGGCCACAUUGGGACUGAGACACGGCCCAGACUCCUACGGGAGGCAGCAGUGGGGGAUAUUGCACAAUGGAGGAAACUCUGAUGCAGCAACGCCGCGUGAGGGAAGAAGGUCUUCGGAUUGUAAACCUUUGUCCUUGGUGACGAAACAAAUGACGGUAGCCAAGGAGGAAGCUCCGGCUAACUACGUGC